UGCAAUCGAUCAAUUAUGAGACCAGCCCAAAUGCUCAUUCGCAAAGCAUCAGUGUAAUGCUUUGCCAUUUGCAUUGUUCGAAGGCCAAUGUUCACGGGAUUGCUGUUGGGAAUCCUGAGGUUGUUCCGGCUGUUCAUGAGCCAGUGCAGGAUUCAUGCACUUGCUGGGGUAAUUCAUGAGCCAGUGCAGGAUUCAUGCACUUGCUGGGGUAAGUCUAUUUUCUGGUUAAGAAUUGCGCCCAGUAUGUAAUGUAACCAUUUUUCAAAAUAACAUAUAAACGCUGAUAGCUGUUGCUGUUGGGAAUCCUGAGGUUGUUCCGGCUGUUCAUCAACCAAUUGCAGUGGAUAUGCACCAGUUGAUAUGGAUGGAUCUGGAAAAAUUCCUCUUCCUCCUCUGAAGGAGAGACCCAGAAGGAGGUGGGUUCUGCCAAGGUAACUGUUGCUAUGACCAGAUUCCGGAACGAACUUCCAGAUCCAAGUGCACAACCCAAGCUCAUGUCCAUGAAGAAAGACAAAGAUCAGUAAGUAAUCACUACACCAAUUUUGUUAUCAGACAACGGCAGAAAACCGUUGUGUGAUUUGAAGACCCACCGUUGUAGAGUGAGCCGUUGUCUGAUGAAAAAUUAGACAACGG